GUGACCCAUUGAGAUUUGGUUCAGACAGUGACCAUGAAUGAUAUCACUCUCCUGAGGCUAACAGAGAAAAAUAAAGACCGAAUGUUGCAUGAAUGCAACCAAACCCAGGAUCAUUGGCUGCCAUGCUUUGUGUUGCAAUGAUUCCAGACCACUUGCUAC